GGGCGAAUGGUCUAGUGGUAUGAUUUCUGUUUCGCAUCUUUAAAACUGCGACCCUACAGAAGGUCCCGUGUUCAAUCCACGGUUCGUCCA